rnacentral:rRNA from 1 species
UGGGGAAUAUUGCACAAUGGGCGCAAGCCUGAUGCAGCCAUGCCGCGUGUGUGAAGAAGGCCUUCGGGUUGUAAAGCACUUUCAGCGGGGAGGAAGGCGUUAAGGUUAAUAACCUUGGCGAUUGACGUUACCCGCAGAAGAAGCACCGGCUAACUCCGUGCCAGCAGCCGCGGUAAUACGGAGGGUGCAAGCGUUAAUCGGAAUUACUGGGCGUAAAGCGCACGCAGGCGGUCUGUCAAGUCGGAUGUGAAAUCCCCGGGCUCAACCUGGAAACUGCAUUCGAAACUGGCAGGCUAGAGUCUUGUAGAGGGGGGUAGAAUUCCAGGUGUGGCGGUGAAAUGCGUAGAUAUAUGGAGGACCACCAGUGGCGAAGGCGGCUCUCUGGUCUGUAACUGACGCUGAGGCUCGAAAGCGUGGGGAGCAAACAGG